rnacentral:rRNA from 1 species
GAGGAACGACGGCGGUGUGAGUUUACUGUGGAGCCCUAGGAGGAGCUAGGGGAAGAGGAUCCAAAGGAGGAGGUGGGUUAGGGCUUCCGCGAGCGACGGAGGAGGGCGUAGGCAGACGAGCGAGCAGGGGCUCGUUGAGUGAACUGGCCGGCCGGUGGUCUCGUGGUGGUGGUCACUGGUCGUCGAGCGGCCUCGGUCGUCUACUCGAGGAGGGAAGAAGAGACGAGGUAAGAAGGGAACGAGAGGGGAAGGGGACUAGAGAGAGGGAGCAAGACAGUACGUCCACAGGAGGGCUCGCGGUACCUGUCCUCGGGGCGGUACCUAGAGGUUCAGGCGCCGACGCAACAGGGUGUCGGGGGAGCAGCAGCAGGGGUAUCGGUUCAGGGCGCGAAGGGGAUGUAGGUCGUUGCCGUUCAGUCGGCGUGUCGAACAGCGACGUAGGGGUCGGGGCGCCACCUGAGGAUACGAAGCUCGGAGCGGGGACGCGGCAGAAGGGGCGCGCGGUGUCCUCUGUCCUCUGGCCUGUGGUGGGGCCGUUCGAGAUAGCGGAGGGUAGCGAGGUUGAAGCGGCUUCAUGGGUUGUUCCGACUGGGAAGACUUCAAGCAGCGCGGCGGGACGGUCCUGCACGGGAGCGGCAGAGGAAGGAGAGGCGGUGUUCUCGACUGGAGGUACCGCUACAGCCGGAGCUCGAGCUACCAGGGCGGUGGCGGCACUUGCCUGGGAUGGAGCCUAGACGGAGGAGGAGGUGGGCAGCAGGGGUAGACGCCCGAGGGGACGUAGCCGGCGACGGAGGGGACGAAGAUGCACGCUCGUGCGCCCCUGCUCCUGCUGGUCGCGGGCGCAACUGAAGGGCCAGGCUUCGGCGAUCGGUCGAAUCAGGGAGGGAGUUCCGGGUCGAGACGCGAGUUUGAGAUCAGGCGGAGGCCGGAGUAGGUGAAUGACCCGAACCGGGUACCCACUCGUCGGGGUUGCGGGGGGGAAAAAAGACAAGUACAACCUGGAGACGAAUCAAAGCCGAGUAUAUCACAAAAAAGUACAGACGCAAAAUCUGUAAUAGGUCACAAAAUGGACAAAACGUCUUUGGGGGGUUCGAAGUAGUAUAGGAUUGAGUGGUUGAUACGUAGUAUACAUUUAUUGAAUAUAUACAUUUUACGAACCAAAAAGUAGAUCAAAGUAUUAUACGUUGAAAGUUGGUACAAUUUUUACAAAUUUUACUACAAACACAAAUAAAAAGUAUUACGGUACGAAGUAAUUUGGCCUGUACGUAGUAUGAACCAACACGUAGUACGGUACAAGUACACUACCAACAAAUGAUACAACGAAAGAAGAAAGGCCCAACGAAGAGAGCAAUCGAAGCCAAAACCAGGUCUCAACACUCCUAAGCAAGCUGAUACAGGCAAAAGGAAGAAGUACCUGAGCAAGAAGAAGGAACGCCCUAGAGUCCGUUCUACUGGUAUGGGAGUUUUAGUGAAAAUAGAAACGAACGAUCAACAAGCGAGAUAACGAUGCAGCACGAUGGAUGGUGAACGAUAUAGUACGGAGGGUAUAACGGUACAGUUCGGAGAUUGGGUGGAAAGGAUCGUUGGGCAACAAACCGAUACAAUGGCGAAAACGAGUUGGGGAGAAUAUCGCAACGAUCAACGUCCACUUCUACUUCGAACAAGGUACAACCUUGUACCUGUACAACCCUAUAGUGUUAUAGAGAAUAAAUUAAAUUACGUAGAUAUAUGAACCAUUUCCCACCUUCCGAGCCGGAAUACGGACCACAAAACAAGGUGAGAACAGCGGGAUCAAAGGUAGUAUGGCCACAAUACAAGGAACUAAAACGCAAGGAAUGCGCUAACCCACAAUACCCUUGGGGAACUGUCAAACGAAACUUAUUUUGAGGAGGUCGUUCGGGGUUGGAACCAAAAUGUAAACGGAUUGUUGGAUUCGGAAAAAGGGAAUCCAAAGGCCUCGGGCUCCCAGUAGAAAUAAAAUUGGGGGGCCCGGUCACGAGGAGACUCACAACCAGGUUGGAAAAUCGGUGGCCACCGGUGGUCCCCGUUGAGAUCCAACCGGAUGGCCUUCGAACCUGUUAGGCCACACGGAACUUUUGCUCUAACACGUCGAGGAUAGCCCUAAACAGCCGUGUAAGCCCACCGAAACGACCAGAACAAAAUGGUAACGGCUUUAUAGAACAUUGGCCCUAAAGCUCAGACUAGUCCAGAAGGACCCUCUUCCUUAUAGGAAGCAACUGGUACCCUCGAACACUACCCGAUUCAACCCUGUGGGGACGUCCCAUAUUUGAAAGCUUUCGGUACGGGCGCCAAUACACCGUCUACCCUUAAACAAUUAUAGGCCAACAUCUCUUGAACUGAACUGAAUUAAUUUUACGUAGUUGGCGUACACAUCGGUACUACCAGAGAAAAGCCGCCUCAGGCCCUUCACUUGUGCCAAGAACACAAUACUAACACGCAUUCAUCAAAAUCCUAGUGAAGGACUAGUGAAGAUCGAAUGCUGGUAACGCAACGAAGAGAAGAGCGAGAAUAAACGCAUACAAUCGGUGGUAUGUACAAAUCACGAACGACGUCGAGGUGGAGUAAUGGACAGGAUGGGUAUUCGAAUUUAUCAGAACUAGAUCGCCCACACUCUAACGACUCAGGAGCACUGAGUGCCUAUGAAGGUUUGUCAACGUCCACGGCUACUAUCGUCACGUCUACUGCGUUGGCUCGAGUUCACCCUCGAGCUACUUCUGAACAAGCAACACAACAAAGCAAAGGAUAACUAGUCAUCACCUCGGGUCAACCCUGCUAGCCCCUAGAUCGUAAACCCCAACAGAAGAAAAUAAAACCAAGGCAUCAGCCUGGAAACAAACAUGAAACCUAAUACAUACUUGAUAAAUACAUAACACACUUCACCGCUAACAUUCGGUUGAGAAAUAGGG